rnacentral:tRNA from 1 species
CGUCUUAGAGUGGACGCUGCUUUAAACACGUGGUCGUGGGUUCGAUCCCCACAGACGAGACCA